CGCAACGACAAUCAAGGAGUUACUGAAAUGUGAUUUUCUUGUUAAUAGACUAGAAAUCAAUCAAACAGCAAGCGUUCAAACGAGUAGCCAUUGUGUCGAUAUAGUCGAACAUAGCCGUACAAUUUUUAAUAUUAGUAGGAAUAAAAUGCUUGAGGAAAAAAAUUUGACAACGCAAUAGAAAAAAAAAAAAAAAUAAAAAAAUAAAAAAAAGUAAAAAAAUAAAAAAAAGUAAAAAAAAAAAAAAUAAUAAAAAAAA